rnacentral:rRNA from 1 species
UAGUUGGAUUUCUGUUGAGGAAGUCCGGUCCGCACUUUGUGCGUGAUCUGGUUCUGCCUCGGCAUCCUCGUGGGGAACAUGCUGCGCUUGAUUGCGUGGUGUGGUAUUCACGACUUUUACUUUGAGGAAAUUAGAGUGUUCACGGCAGGCAAUCGCCUUGAAUACAUUAGCAUGGAAUAAUAAUAUAGGACCUUGGUUCUAUUUUGUUGGUUUCUAGAACUAAGGUAAUGAUUAAUAGGGAUAAUUGGGGGCAUUUGUAUUAACACGUCAGAGGUGAAAUUCUUGGAUUGUGUUACGACAAACUACUGCGAAAGCAUUUGCCAAGGAUGUUUUCAUUGAUCAAGAACGAAAGUAAGGGGAUCGAAGACGAUUAGAUACCGUCGUAGUCUUUACCAUAAACUAUGCCAACUAGAGAUUGGAGGUCGUUCUUUUUAUGACUCC